rnacentral:rRNA from 1 species
AAACUGGAGAUGGCGACCGGCGCACGGGUGAGUAACACGUAUCCAACCUGCCGAUAACUCGGGGAUAGCCUUUCGAAAGAAAGAUUAAUACCCGAUGGCAUAAUAGAACCGCAUGGUUUGAUUAUUAAAGAAUUUCGGUUAUCGAUGGGGAUGCGUUCCAUUAGGCAGUUGGUGGGGUAACGGCCCACCAAACCUUCGAUGGAUAGGGGUUCUGAGGGGAAGGUCCCCCACAUUGGAACUGAGACACGGCCCAA